rnacentral:tRNA from 1 species
GCCCUCGUAUCCCAACUGGCAGAGGAACGGGACUCAAAACCCCGACAGUGUGGGUUCGAAUCCCACCGAGGGCA